rnacentral:rRNA from 1 species
CUCAGAGGUAAACGGGUGGAUCCGCAAAGUUCGGCUCNCGGAAUNCAGCGCGGCGCGCAGCACGGGGCUGCCGCGGUUCGGGAACCCUCGGGGAACCGUCCGCGGUGCCCAGCCGGGCUCCGCCGCGUGCACUUUCCGCGGGCAGAGAGCCACAACCGGUUCGGUUGGCGGUCACAAGUCGGGGAGGGUUGUAGGUGGGGAUGCUCGCGUCCCUACCAGCCCCUUCCCUGGCCGGCCGCCUCCGGACCGAGGAACAGCCGCCGCGCUUCGUGGCCNACCCUUNCCCCUCCNGGGAGAGUUCGACUGGGNGAGACUGGGCAACCGUNUUCUUCCCUGACCGCUCUCUCGUGAAACGGCGUGGGGGCUNGGCCCGGGCGUGCAGCCNUGG